rnacentral:rRNA from 1 species
GACUGAGCGGCGGACGGGUGAGUAACGCGUGGGUAACCUGCCUUAUACAGGGGGAUAACAGUUAGAAAUGACUGCUAAUACCGCAUAAGCGCAUAGUACCGCAUGGUACGGUGUGAAAAACUCCGGUGGUAUGAGAUGGACCCGCGUCUGAUUAGGUAGUUGGUGGGGUAACGGCCUACCAAGCCGACGAUCAGUAGCCGACCUGAGAGGGUGACCGGCCACAUUGGGACUGAGACACGGCCCAGACUCC